rnacentral:lncRNA from 1 species
UCUGUUAUAUCUCCUGUCAAUUAUCUUCAGAAAGUAUGCACUUUGUACAGCACAAAUGGCAUACUUUAUCCAUAGAAACUACAUGACAUCAUGAAAGCAACAGAAGAACAAAGAAAGAAAACAAGAACAAUUCCUUCUCAAAACCGUCAGGCACUUCACAUUGUCUGGGUCUGGAAUGACUUUGCCCGGACGCCGGACCGGUAGCUGAACACUUAUACAUUUUUGCCCGAGAAGGCAAGAGUGGAAGAAUUGGCUUG